UAAGGAAUAUUGGACAAUGGAGGCAACUCUGAUCCAGCCAUGCCGCGUGAAGGAAUAAGGCCCUAUGGGUUGUAAACUUCUUUUAGACGGGACAAAACCCCUUUACGUGUAAAGGGUUGAUGGUACUGUCAGAAUAAGCAUCGGCUAACUUCGUGCCAGCAGCCGCGGUAAUACGAAGGAUGCAAGCGUUAUCCGGAAUUAUUGGGUUUAAAGGGUGCGUAGGCGGACUAAUAAGUCAGUGGUGAAAGCCCGCAGCUUAACUGCAGAAUUGCCAUUGAUACUGUUAGUCUUGAGUACAGUUGAGGUCGGCGGAAUGUGCCAUGUAGCGGUGAAAUGCUUAGAUAUGACACAGAACACCGAUUGCGAAGGCAGCUUGCUAAGCUGUAACUGACGCUGAGGCACGAAAGCGUGGGGAGCAAACA
rnacentral:rRNA from 1 species